CAGCCAAGUACAUAAUAAUAUAACGUCCGACAUUUCCAUUUUCGGAAUUUUCCAUUGCAACUUGUGCACUUCCAUAUUCUAUGCAUCCACCAUUCACGGUCUUACGUCUACAGUUACCUCUAGUGACUAUAGUAAUGUAAUGUACCUUGUACCUAGUCAACGAAAAUUCCAACUUAAAUAUAAGAAUGAAUUCUCAAACAUACGCUGUUGUUUUAGUCUCAGAGAACAUCAUUCUUUUUCCAAUAACAUGGUUAAAUUGUGAUGGUCAGAACACUCCCUUUAUUGGUAAUAAUAUAAAUUUUACUGACCACUUAUUAAUGCAGUGAAAGAAGCUAAUAAUUAUGCUAUUAUAAACAAAAAAAUUGGACAAAAAGAAGUGGCAAACUAUUGGUCAUAGCUGAAAUAAUUUGGCGACAAUAGAAAAUUAAAAAAAAAGAACUUUGCCGUAGUUGAGUUUAUUGAUGAGUAAUCGGUCGAAGUAGUACCUUGCAGCUGGAUCAAUGCAGAUCAAGUUGAUAAACAAUUUAAAUGUUAUUGGUCUAAGCAGUAAGCAUGGUAAUAUAUCAAAAUGGUCUGCAUCACAAAAAUAACCUUCCAGUUUGUGGAAAAUACAUUUGUGUAUUCCUAAAAAAUUUGUCCGUAUGUUAUAGAAAUAUAGAUUAUUCAAAAUAUUUUAUUAUAAUGUGUAAUAUGUUUAUUCGGAAGGGGAAAAAAUUAACUACAUAUUGUGAUACCAGCACACCAGAACUAGAAGAUAUUACACAACAGCCAAGAAAAAGUUUUAAAAAAAAAACACUUUGAUGAUUCUAUGUUUGUUGUAGAUGAAAGUAAUUUAAACAAAAACAAAAAGGCCAUAUUUUGAUGCAAACCCGGUCUAGCUCAGAAAACAGUAAUACAAGUCAAUCCUUGUUUUCAAAUAAUAUGUUAGCAUUAAAUGAUGCUCCAAAGCCUAAAAGUAAUUUUUAAUUGUCAUAUAAUAUAUUGAAUAUUUUAUAUGGAAAUUAUGUGUGUGAUUAUUAGUUAAAGCCUAUUACAUAUUGCUGAGUAACAGCUUGCUUAAUUUAUUGAUAAACUUGCCGUUUAUUUUGAUUUAUCAUAAAAAUCCUUGAACAUUUUUGGUUCUUAACUUAAUGGUCUGCACAAUGUUUUUCCACAAAAAUGUUAUACAUUUUUACAUACCUGACUUGUUUAUUUUUUAUUGGUGAUUGAUUAAAUGUACACGAAAAUUGGAUUCACCCAUUCUAUGAUGUAGGAAUAGAAAAACAAUAUAUAUUAGUAUUAAGGUCCCCAAACAUGUUGCACUGGAGCGGUGGCGUUAAAUCAAUGCAGAACACAUUUCACUGCUCACCGCGCAGGUAAAGCAAAGACAAUAGAAUUUAACGCCACCACUCCAGUGUGUGGAGACUAAUUUUACUAGAUGGCUUCUUAUAACAAAUUAAUAGUAUAUAAAUAAUAUGAUUACAUAAUAUUGUAUUUAGGUAUGUUUAAUGUGAAUGAAAAACACUUAAUUACUGCUACUGGAAUGAUGUUUGAAAAUAAAAAAAAAACAGUUAACUCUGAUCGAUUCUGACAUGGAUGAGAUAUGCAUGUUGAAUUAAUAAUUAUUGAGCUGUUAAAUGACUGAAAUCCUGUUUUUAAAGAUUUAAUUUGUAAUAUUAUUUUUAAAGCUAACACCCAACUCAAUUAAAAUGACUGAAUUAUAAGCAAUACAGAUGGUGGUGCUAAUAAAGAUGGUGGUAUGAAAAAUUCACAAAUUAUUACUAUAUCAGAUGUAAUGAACAGUAUUCAGCAUUUAGGCCAUGUUCUUAUGAAUGAUAUUCAUUUCAUUAUAUUCAAUUUUUCAUAUCCACAAAAAUGUAAUAUAACAAUAUUUAAAACUUGCCUGACACCGUUUGUAAUUAAGUUUCUAGAAAUAUGUCAAAUAUACAAAAAGGUUAGAAAA